rnacentral:rRNA from 1 species
GACGAACGCUGGCGGCGUGCUUAACACAUGCAAGUCGAACGGAAAGGCCUCUUUCGGGGGGUACUCGAGUGGCGAACGGGUGAGUAACACGUGAGUAACCUGCCCUUGACUUUGGGAUAACUUCAGGAAACUGGGGCUAAUACCGGAUAGGAGCUCCUGCUGCGUGGUGGGGGUUGGAAAGUUUCGGCGGUUGGGGAUGGACUCGCGGCUUAUCAGCUUGUUGGUGGGGUAGUGGCUUACCAAGGCUUUGACGGGUAGCCGGCCUGGGAGGGUGACCGGCCACAUUGGGACUGAGAUACGGCCCAGACUCCUACGGGAGGCAGCAGGGGGGAAUAUUGCACAAUGGGUGGAAGCCUGAUGCAGCAACGCCGUGUGCGGGAUGACGGCCUUCGGGUUGUAAACCGCUUUCGCUCAUGACGAAGCUUUGUGUGACGGUAGUGGGUAAAGAAGCACCGGCUAACUACGUG